ACACUGACGUCGCGACGCAUAUCAAUAAGCGGAGGAAAAGAAACUAACAAGGAUUCCCUUAGUAACGGCGAGUGAAGCGGGAAGAGCUCAAAUUUGAAAUCUUCAAGGUUCUACCUUGACGAAUUGUAGUUUGAAGAAGUGUUUUCUGUUAGAUGAGUAGCAAAAGUUCCUUGGAAUGGGACAUCAUAGAGGGUGAGAAUCCCGUAUUUGGUUAUUCAUUCUAGCUUUGUGAUACACUUUCAAAGAGUCGGAUUGUUUGGGAAUGCAGUCCAAAAUGGGUGGUAAAUUUCAUCUAAAGCUAAAUAUUGGCGAGAGACCGAUAGCGAACAAGUACCGUGAGGGAAAGAUGAAAAGAACUUUGAAAAGAGAGUUAAACAGUACGUGAAAUUGUCAAAAGGGAAGCGUUUGACACCAGUGUUGUUUUUCCGAAAAUCAAUUACGAAUGGCUUGAUUUUGUGUUGUAUUGACCUUAUCAGCUUUCUUCACUCUUUUCGAGUCUUUCUUAAUGCACUUUUCGGUUAACAAGUCAACAUCAAUUUCUUUUGUUGUAAAAGGGUCAUUGGAAGGUGGCUUUCUCUUCGGAGAAAGUGUUUAUAGCCUUUGCUCUCUGCAAUCGGAGAGAUUGAGGUCUGCAGCGUAGAUCCUUCGGGGUUAGAUACAUUUGUGCUAAGUUAUAGCCUUUCAUAGACAACUUGUUGACUAUGAUUCAGUCAUGUGACUUACUCGCUUAUGCUAUUUUACCUACGCUUAGGAUGUUGAGUCGUAGAGCACGCAG
rnacentral:rRNA from 1 species